UACGUAGGGCGCAAGCGUUGUCCGGAAUUAUUGGGCGUAAAAGAGCUCGUAGGCGGUUUUGUCGCGUCUGCUGUGAAAACUGGAGGCUCAACCUCCAGCCUGCAGUGGGUACGGGCAAACUAGAGUGUGGUAGGGGAGACUGGAAUUCCUGGUGUAGCGGUGAAAAUGCGCAGAUAUCAGGAGGAACACCGAUGGCGAAGGCAGGUCUCUGGGCCGAUAUCGACGCUGAGGAGCGAAAAGCGUGGGGGAGCGAACAGG
rnacentral:rRNA from 1 species